CAGGUCAGCUUACUGACCUUAUGGUGCCUUUCGGGGGUACAAUGAGACCUCCUGAAGUUGUACCCCUACUUCCAAUACCAGAAGAGCAAGUCCCAACAGCUACAAAGAAAUGUGUUAAAGAAAAAAAAAGACCCUACCAAUGAGGAACUGGGAAUAUCGUUCAGCGGGAUAUCUGGGACCCUCUACUGUAGUCUGGCUAUGCAAAUUAUAGUAAGCCUCUGAACUUGACAGAACCUACUAGGCGAUCUGCCUGUGGGUACUUUAAAAGAAUCAUCUUUUCACCCAAGUUCUGAUGAAGCAAAUGGAUGGAAGAGUUCUCAACGGGCCCGGGCCUGAGGCUAAGGCUCCUUUCCCAGAUGCUCUGGCCUGAAGCCCAGGAUAGAAGGAAACACAGGCGCCAAAAGUAUGAAUCGUACGGACCAUGGUGUCACCUAAGGAAGCUCACCGUAGAUCCUGAACCUUAUUUCCUGGAUGCUGCUGUCAUUGACCAUGACGCUGACAGAGGGCAAGGCCAGCUCAUCUUUGCAGAACCUUGGGAGCUUGACCAUGUACUCACCACUAUCCUGCAGGAAGUGUUCAACUCCUGGAAAGUUCAUCUGCUCCAAAUCUACACACUUGAGUAUUGGGAACAGGCCUCACCAUGCCUCAAAUGACUCAGAAGUCAAGAGCACCACGACACGCCUGAGAUGUUCAAUGCAGAAAACCACUUCCAGAGACAUCCGGAAGAUGUGGAAGAUGUGGCCAUUUAAGUCCGCAGGGCUGUGGAGUGGUCCCAGCAAUGGAGAGUCUGCACGGUCAGUCAUUCUGGAUUUUCUGCCUCAGACCAAAAGACUUUGACACUGAGGCCUGUUUUGAGUGCUGGUUUCUUUUAUCCUCGAGCUAUUUCCAGGAGAGCUGUUGUCAUCUCUCAGUCCUACCACAGAGGCCACCAUUCAAGACUCUCCCAGGAUUUCAAUGUUCAAGCCAUGCUCUCUGCAAAGGACUGUGUUUCUGAAGCUCCCAACAUUGCUGAGACCUUACUUGAGACUUGAGACUUGGGUGUAUUGGGCACCUCGGUGCUGUCUGUAGGGAAGUUUUGGCAAACAUUUUUCUCCUAAUAAAGGCUAGGCAGCAAAUAAUAUUUCUUUCUUCCUCCUGUUUCCUUCCUUCCUUCCUUCCUU
rnacentral:sRNA from 1 species